rnacentral:rRNA from 1 species
UACGGAGGGGGCUAGCGUUGUUCGGAAUUACUGGGCGUAAAGCGCACGUAGGCGGCUUUGCAAGUUAGAGGUGAAAGCCCGGGGCUUAACCCCGGAAUUGCCUUUAAAACUGCAUCGCUAGAAUUGUGAAGAGGAGAGUGGAAUUCCCGGUGUAGCGGUGAAAUGCGCAGAUAUCGGGAAGAACACCCGUGGCGAAGGCGGCUCUCUGGGACGGUACUGACGCUGAGACGCGAAAGCGUGGGGAGCGAACAGG